rfam:Canis lupus familiaris chromosome 7, whole genome shotgun sequence.
AGGAGGAACAACCGCAGUGGCGGGGCCAGCUCUGCAGCCCUGGAGUCAGCUCCCGCAGUAGCUCCGGAGCUCUCCGUCUGCAGGGCCUGGAGGCUCCGGGGCGGG